rnacentral:tRNA from 1 species
UCCCUGGUAGCUCAGAUGGCAAAGCAUCUGCCUGUAGCGCGGGAGACCCAGGUUUAAUCCCUGGGUCGGGAA